UUUUAGUUAGUAUAUUAGUAUAGUUACCUUCCAAGUAAAAGGUUCUCAAGAGAACUGUUAA
rnacentral:tRNA from 1 species